GUUUGAUCAUGGCUCAGGAUGAACGCUAGCGGGAGGCUUAACACAUGCAAGUCGAGGGGCAUCACGAGGUAGCAAUACUUUGGUGGCGACCGGCAGACGGGUGAGUAACGCGUAUGCAACCUACCCUGUACAGGGGGAUAACCCGGAGAAAUUCGGACUAAUAUCCCAUAAUAUUAUUUGGAGGCAUCUUCGGAUAAUUAAAGUUCCGGCGGUACGGGAUGGGCAUGCGUAACAUUAGCUAGUUGGUAAGGUAACGGCUUACCAAGGCUUUGAUGUUUAGGGGUCCUGAGAGGGUGGUCCCCCACACUGGUACUGAGACACGGACCAGACUCCUACGGGAGGCAGCAGUGAGGAAUAUUGGUCAAUGGCGCAAGCCUGAACCAGCCAUCCCGCGUGCAGGAAGACGGCCCUAUGGGUUGUAAACUGCUUUUCCGAAAGGCGAAACUCAGCGACGUGUCGUUGAUUGACGGUAUUUCGGGAAUAAGCAUCGGCUAACUCCGUGCCAGCAGCCGCGGUAAUACGGAGGAUGCGAGCGUUAUCCGGAUUCAUUGGGUUUAAAGGGUGCGUAGGCGGACUAAUAAGUCAGUGGUGAAAUCCUGCAGCUUAACUGCAGAACUGCCAUUGAUACUGUUAGUCUUGAGUUUGGUUAAGGUAGGCGGAAUGUGUAAUGUAGCGGUGAAAUGCUUAGAUAUUACACAGAACACCAAUUGCGUAGGCAGCUUACUGGACCGACACUGACGCUGAGGCACGAAAGCGUGGGGAUCGAACAGGAUUAGAUACCCUGGUAGUCCACGCCGUAAACGAUGAUUACUCGCUGUUGGCGAUACACAGUCAGCGGCUAAGCAAAAGCAAUAAGUAAUCCACCUGGGGAGUACGGCCG
rnacentral:rRNA from 1 species